CUUUUUUCUCACUCGUUCAACCCUGCGGUUUACGUGGUGAUGUAGCUAAUUUGUGCAUCUUUUCUAACGACCGCAAGGGCGGCACGCGAGCGGAAAAGUGUGCCUUGCGACUGACUGGCAACCAAUCCAAGGCGGAGUCUUACCUACCGCCUGAGUUUGUUGACCAGUGGGGGCCACCAUAAGAGAGCCAAAUCA